rnacentral:pre_miRNA from 1 species
UUUGAAAUCACUUGGGGAUCUUGUUAAAAUACAGAUUAUGAUUUGGAAGGUUUGGGGUAGAGGCUGAAAAUCUGCGUUUUAACAAGAUCCUAGGUGAUGCUAAU